rnacentral:rRNA from 1 species
CCACUUUUGUCAGGGAAGAAACGGUUUGGCUUAAUACGCUGAGCUAAUGACGGUACCUGAAGAAUAAGCACCGGCUAACUACGUGCCAGCAGCCGCGGUAAUACGUAGGGUGCAAGCGUUAAUCGGAAUUACUGGGCGUAAAGCGUGCGCAGGCGGCUUUGCAAGACAGAUGUGAAAUCCCCGGGCUCAACCUGGGAACUGCAUUUGUGACUGCAUGGCUAGAGUGCGGCAGAGGGGGAUGGAAUUCCGCGUGUAGCAGUGAAAUGCGUAGAUAUGCGGAGGAACACCGAUGGCGAAGGCAAUCCCCUGGGCCUGCACUGACGCUCAUGCACGAAAGCGUGGGGAGCAAACAGGAUUAGAUACCCUGGUAGUCCACGCCCU